GUCUGGGUGUAGUAUAGUGAUUUGAGUGUUGGACUAUGACUCUGAAGACCAGGGUUCAAAUCCUGGCUCAGCCA
rnacentral:tRNA from 1 species